rnacentral:rRNA from 1 species
GGGUGAGUAACACGUGGGUAACCUGCCUGUAAGACUGGGAUAACUCCGGGAAACCGGGGCUAAUACCGGAUGGUUGUUUGAACCGCAUGGUUCAGACAUAAAAGGUGGCUUCGGCUACCACUUACAGAUGGACCCGCGGCGCAUUAGCUAGUUGGUGAGGUAACGGCUCACCAAGGCGACGAUGCGUAGCCGACCUGAGAGGGUGAUCGGCCACACUGGGACUGAGACACGGCCCAGACUCCUACGGGAGGCAGCAGUAGGGAAUCUUCCGCAAUGGACGAAAGUCUGACGGAGCAACGCCGCGUGAGUGAUGAAGGUUUUCGGAUCGUAAAGCUCUGUUGUUAGGGAAGAACAAGUGCCGUCAAAUAGGGCGGCACCUUGACGGUACCUAACCAGAAAGCCACGGCUAACUACGUGCCAGCAGCCGGUUAAUA